rnacentral:rRNA from 1 species
UAUUGGUCAAUGGCCGGAAGGCUGAGCCAGCCAAGUCGCGUGAGGGAAUAAGGCCCUAUGGGUCGUAAACCUCUUUUGUCAGGGAGCAAAGGCGUCCACGUGUGGACGAGAGGAGAGUACCUGAAGAACAAGCAUCGGCUAACUCCGUGCCAGCAGCCGCGGUAAUACGGAGGAUGCGAGCGUUAUCCGGAUUUAUUGGGUUUAAAGGGUGCGUAGGCGGAGUGUCAAGUCAGCGGUAAAAUUUCGGGGCUCAACCCCGUCGUGCCGUUGGAACUGACACCCUUGAGUGAGUGAGAAGUAAGCGGAAUGCGUGGUGUAGCGGUGAAAUGCAUAGAUAUCACGCAGAACGCCGAUUGCGAAGGCAGCUUACCGGCGCUCAACUGACGCUGAGGCACGAAAGUGCGGGUAUCGAACAGG